AGAGAGAGACAUGCGCGCAUAUCAAUAAGCGGAGGAAAAGAAACUAACAAGGAUUCCCCUAGUAACGGCGAGUGAAGCGGGAAGAGCUCAAAUUUGAAAUCUUAAAGGGUUUCCCUUUACGAAUUGUAGUUUAAAGAAGUGUUUUCUGUUGAGGUUUUGGUAAAAGUUCUUUGGAAUAGGACAUCAUAGAGGGUGAGAAUCCCGUAUUUGACCUUUACUUUCAACUUUGUGAUACACUUUCAAAGAGUCGGAUUGUUUGGGAAUGCAGUCCAAAAUGGGUGGUAAAUUUCAUCUAAAGCUAAAUAUUGGCGAGAGACCGAUAGCGAACAAGUACCGUGAGGGAAAGAUGAAAAGAACUUUGAAAAGAGAGUUAAACAGUACGUGAAAUUGUCAAAAGGGAAGCGUUUGACACCAGUGUUGUUUUUCUGAAAAUCAAUUAAAGAACUGUUUAUGCUAAGCUGUUUAGACUUUAUCAGCUAUCUGUUUAGUUUUGAGCUUUUCUUUAAUGCACUUUUCAGUUAACAAGUCAACAUCAAUUUCUUUUGCUGUAAAAAAGCUUGAGGAAGGUGGCUUGAGAUUCGUCUUAAGUGUUUAUAGCCUCUUGCCUAAUGCAGUCGGAGAGAUUGAGGUCUGCAGCGUAGAUCCUUCGGGGCUAAAUGCAUUUGUGCUAAGUUAUAGCAUUUUAUAGACAACUUGUUGACUAUGAUUUGUCUUGUAGCUUACUCGCUUAUGUUAUUUUACCUACGCUUAGGAUGUUGACGCAUGAGAUAUACGC
rnacentral:rRNA from 1 species